rnacentral:rRNA from 1 species
UAACCUACCCAUCAGAGGGGGAUAACACUUGGAAACAGGUGCUAAUACCGCAUAACAGUUUAUGCCGCAUGGCAUAAGAGUGAAAGGCGCUUUCGGGUGUCGCUGAUGGAUGGACCCGCGGUGCAUUAGCUAGUUGGUGAGGUAACGGCUCACCAAGGCCACGAUGCAUAGCCGACCUGAGAGGGUGAUCGGCCACACUGGGACUGAGACACGGCCCAC